rnacentral:tRNA from 1 species
GAGGGUAGAGCUCAGUGGUAGAGCACAUGCCUAACAUACACAAGAUCCUGGGUUCAAUCCCUAGUCCCUCCA